ACGAACGCUGGCGGCGUGCCUAAUACAUGCAAGUCGAGCGAAGUUUUUCUGGUGCUUGCACUAGAAAAACUUAGCGGCGAACGGGUGAGUAACACGUAAAGAACCUGCCUCAUAGACUGGGACAACUAUUGGAAACGAUAGCUAAUACCGGAUAACAGUAUUUCUCGCAUGAGAGAUAUUUAAAAGUUGGUUAUGCUAACACUAUGAGAUGGCUUUGCGGUGCAUUAGCUAGUUGGUGGGGUAAAGGCCCACCAAGGCGACGAUGCAUAGCCGACCUGAGAGGGUGAUCGGCCACACCGGGACUGAGACACGGCCCAGACUCCUACGGGAGGCAGCAGUAGGGAAUCUUCCGCAAUGGGCGAAAGCCUGACGGAGCAACGCCGCGUGAGUGAAGAAGGAUUUCGGUUCGUAAAGCUCUGUUGUUAGGGAAGAAUGGAUAUGUAGUAACUAUACAUGUAAGAGACGGUACCUAACCAGAAAGCCACGGCUAACUACGUG
rnacentral:rRNA from 1 species